rnacentral:rRNA from 2 species
GGAUCAGGUAGGGAUACCCGCUGAACUUAAGCAUA